GUUUGCUCUUCGGGUCCAACACUGUGACGUGGCUUCGAUCAAUCUCGAUAACAAGCAGUAUCCAGUGGAACCAGUUCAUAUACAUAUACACACACAAUGUUAAAUAUACUUAUUAUUAACUUGAACGGAUGAUGGAAAAAAGGGAUGAAUGAUUCACUGAAAGUUGUACGGCAAAAGUAUGUAUUGCAUGUGAUGCUGUUUAUCUAGGAAGUUGAAAAUAGUCUUCAUAGUCUGAUUUGGCCAUUGCAUUAAGCAUUCCUCGUUUAUAACAUGCGGGUCCAUGAAGCCAACAUGAUAGUAUUGUUUUCUUCGGCAAUGUUGAAUCUCCAUUUUGCAUGAUACAAAAUAAAAGAGGGGAUGAUGAGGCGCACAAUUAAUGUAGGAGCUAGGAUGUAGAUAUCAGAGCAAACACUUAUAGAACCCAUGCACUAAUGAGGGACUUGAUAGACUUUCAAACUCAAUCCAUAUGUCAUCGGGCCCUCGAAAGUAAUCAUGAUCUUGAACCCGACUAGCGAAUA
rnacentral:lncRNA from 1 species